UUAAUUUCAAUGAAGUGAAGUGAAAAACAAUAAGAUCGCGAUAUAUUCGUUUGUAAAGUGGAAACAUAUGAAUUUUAAUUUUUGUUGAAGAAAGAAAGAAUACUGUGAAAAUAUAAUUAAAAAAUUCUAUAGGCAUAAAGUAGAGCAGAUUUGCUGAAAAAUCGCACACAAAAGAAAAUGAAGAGCCAUAAAACUAUGGCUUCAAAUGGAUCAUUUACAAAAAACACCGAUCAAAUUGUUGAACCUGCUGGCAGUUCUUCAACGACAUCGCCGCGCACUAGCACAUCUCGAGCGCCACAACAACAUCAACCGUUUGUCAUACCCAAUGAGGGCACAUAUCUGAAACCAGCUGCGAAACAAGCAUAUUUCAGUGAUGAAAAGGUGCUGAUACCACAGAAUGAUGAGACUGGUUUUAGUUUUCGCAAAUUAUGGGCAUUCACUGGUCCUGGUUUUCUCAUGUCCAUAGCAUACUUGGAUCCGGGCAACAUAGAAUCAGAUUUACAAAGUGGAGCCGCAGCAAAAUAUAAAAUUUUAUGGGUACUUUUAUGGGCUACGGUCUUGGGUUUGCUAAUGCAACGUCUGGCGGCGAGGUUGGGUGUUGUGACGGGUCUACAUUUGGCGGAGAUGUGCUACCGCCAAUACCGAAAGCUACCGCGCGUCAUACUCUGGAUAAUGAUCGAGAUAGCGAUUAUCGGCUCGGACAUGCAGGAAGUGAUUGGCACAGCCAUCGCCAUAUAUCUAUUGUCAAAUAAAAUCGUGCCGCUGUGGGGUGGAGUGCUGAUAACAAUUAUCGAUACGUUUACAUUUUUAUUUCUGGAUAAAUAUGGUUUGAGAAAACUAGAGUUCUUCUUUGGAUUUUUAAUCACUGUGAUGGCGGUGACUUUCGGCUAUGAGUACAUCGUCUCGGCGCCCAAUCAGGCUGAAGUGAUGGAGGGAAUGUUGGUGCCAUGGUGUAAGGAUUGCAAUGCAAAUGUACUACUGCAGGCUGUAGGCAUAGUUGGCGCUGUGAUAAUGCCUCACAAUUUGUAUCUACAUUCCGCUUUAGUCAAAUCACGUGAUAUCGAUCGUCGUCAACCGAAAAGAGUGAGUGAGGCUAAUUUCUAUUUCUUUAUCGAAGCGGCGGUGGCGCUCUUUGUGUCCUUCAUUAUAAAUCUAUUUGUCGUAGCCGUCUUCGCACACGGCAUGUUCGGUAAAACCAAUCAAGAUGUGCUGGAUGUUUGUGUCAAUCAAACAAUGUACGAUGACGCGAAAGCGUCCUUUACGGAUUCGCACAACAACACCGAUCUCAUCGAUGCCGAUAUCUACAAGGGCGGCCUAUUCUUGGGCUGCACAUUCGGUGCUGUGGCUAUGUACAUUUGGGGUGUUGGCAUUUUAGCCGCUGGUCAAAGUUCCACAAUGACUGGCACAUAUGCGGGACAAUUUUCAAUGGAAGGUUUUCUGAACUUACAAUGGCCACGUUGGCGUCGCGUGCUCUUCACGCGCUUGAUCGCUAUCAUACCCACAUUCUGUUUGGCAUUCUUUACACGCAUGGAGGACCUUACACAUUUGAAUGAUAUCUUGAAUGCAGUGAUGUCGUUGCAAUUGCCUUUUGCCGCCAUACCAACGAUAGCAUUCACCUCGUGUGUGGCUAUAAUGGGCGAAUUCGUGAAUGGCAUUACGAACAAGGUUAUUUCCAUAAUGUUAACCAUAGUAGUGAUAACGGUAAACAUAUAUUUCGUCGUGGUGCAAGUGCAGACGGCGUCUCUGGAGGGUGGUUUUUUAGCAUUAGUUUGUAUAGCAGCCAUUUUAUAUUUGCUCUUUAACUUGUACCUUGUGAUACACAUGAUUGCGUGCAUGGGCAAUCAAAGAUUUGUUAAUAAUCGGUGGGUCCAGAAGUUUGUGCUCCCCAGUCAGAAUAGUUUUACGAUAAAGAACGCCAAUUCAACGUACGCAAGUGAGCUGACGUUAUGCGACAAUAGCGUCUCGAUAUGUUCCAUCUCGUCGAAGACUCAUUAAGGUUCUGUCUCAUAUUAAUGUGUAAUGAAUACUGCCGUCGAUGCAACGUUGCAGCGCGCACAAUAAUUGAAGUGCUCAAAUGAAUUCGCUAUAAAUCCAAAAUAAACAUAUUUACGAUUUAUUUUUAUUUUUAGUAAAACUGCGAUGAAGCAGCAGUAGAGUGCGCAAGUUACUUAUUCAUGGCAUUAUGUAAUGAUAUGAAUUAGCCAAUAGCUAAUGUAUGUAUGUAAAUGUAAAUAAUAAAAUUUUAAUUGAAACGAUUUAGUUUAUAUUAUUUACUAGAAUUCUACAUUAUUGUAUUGUCAUAUAACAAACGCUUGCACUUAUUUAUUUAUUCAAACUUAUUAAAACUUAUUAAAGUAUAAUUAAAUAAUUAAAAAAUGCACAUUGUUGCAAAAAAAUGUCAACUAUUAUUGCGCUCUUGCCAGUAGACAUACAUAUUUAUGAGUUUUAAUAUGCUUUUUUUCUACUAUAAAAUGUACAUUCACCGACACCGUUGUUGUUACAAUGCUUUUGUUGUUGUUCAGCUGUAUAUUUACUACUUAGCAUUGUAUAAAACAAAAACUUUAUGCGCUGUAAUUAUAUAUUAUUUAUGAUUUAAUUAAAAAUAACAGCGAUUUUCGUAAGUAAAACGCCUCUCUGUAGUUAGUAAGCACCAUUUAUUUAUAGUAAUAGUAGUUACAUUUAGCAAAAAAAAAAAAAAAAUAAAUAAAUAAUGAUGAUAAUAAAUGUACAAAAAAUAAUCAUAUCGCACUAUAAAUUAAUUUCGUUAGCACAUAGUUGCUAGCCUUGACCCACUGUAUAUUUACAUGAACGCAUACACAAAUUAUUUCCCGAAUAUUUUAAGUACAAUUAUUAAUAAACAAUCGAAGCAGUUUUUUGCAUACUUUUGCAGUUGUUGUAGCCUGUGUUUUAUUCACCUAUUAUUUGCUGAAUUUUUCCUUACGCCAACGUACGCACACCUGUACUUACAUACUUAUUUCUACAUAGUAUACAAUAUGCAUAUGUAUAUACGCGUAUUUGUCUAUUCUAUUUUAUUUUUUACAGCUUAACAGUUUAAUUACUUAACAACAAUAACAAAUACAUAUCAAUUUACAGCAUUUUAUGAAUAAUUCAAAUCGUACAGCAUUUCCGCCUAGCAUUGUCAUUGACAUCUCCAUACAUACAUAUGUAUAUACACACUUAUAAACAUUUGCCUGCUUAUUGUAACUGUUGUUUGCAUUUUCCUCCUAUGUUUGUCUAUUUAAACUAUUUUACAGUGCAUUACACAAUACAGUACAUCAAAAUACUAAACACAUAUUUAUAGUAUAAAUUAAAAAAAAAAUAGAUUUUGUUUUUUGAAACGUAAGUAUCGCCAAAGCAACGAAAGCUGUUGCAAUUCUAUUUUAUACUCGCUCAAAUUCACUAGUUUAUUAAAUAUCAAUAGUUAUUCUGGUAGUAACAUUAACUAUUCUGCAAAUAAGUAUUUUUCAGUAGGCUUUACCGGAUGUACAUAAAUUCAUGUAUAUGUAGACUCUAAUACCGUGAGCAUUGUGUUGUUGUAGCAGUAGCGGCAGAUAACAUUAUUUAAAUUAUAUUUAGAAAUGCUGCUGAGUUUACUGUCCUGGGUCGGGUGGGCAAAUGACUUGCAAAACUGAUUAGAUUUAUUGAAAAAUUAUGAUAUUGUCAUUUAGUUUGAGAUUCGCAAUAAUAUCUUGGAAUUGUUAGAGGGUCACCAAUCUAACUGGAUAGAAAGCCAUUCGCAGUGUAUAGCCUAAUUAUCUGCCAGCAUCAAAUGAUACCAUGGUGCGAAUGCAAUAUCUUAGGUUGCAGGGUAAUUGAAAUCGCUGGCAUUCUGUACCUCUCUGUAUUCUCAAGCUAGUGGAGAGGUCAAGUUAGUUUUGUACGAUCAAUUUUGAGAUCAUAAAAUCGUAUACCUUUAUUUUUGGUACCGAAUAUCAUGUUAUCGAAAUCAAAUCUGGUUGCUUUUGAUUUUGGUCAUCCGUUGCAGUUCUUCAUCCCCAGGAAUUGCCGUAUUUUUGGACUGUAAAAAAUACUCACAGAAAAAUAACAACCGUCCGCUUAACUGCUUAAGGUGCUGUACUAGUGUAAACCAAGAAAAUUUAGGCGAUUUUCGUGAAUUUUUUUAAAGAAAGUACUCGAUCGAAUGUUUCGACACACAUUAUAGAUGACGCUAAGAUAUUUCUAUACCCUGCAUUAAGUACGUGCUAUAUGAAAAAAAGGAAGGAGGGAGUUGAACUCAUACUUUUUAGGAAUAAUUUGUCGUUCUGACAAGAUAAUAAUCUGCAAAGAUGUCGCAGUCGCCCUUAUUUACUUUUUAUAUAAAGAUGAGAACUGUCAGUUUGCUGUUUCAUUAUAAAUAUAACUUCUUCAAAGUACUUGACUGUUCUCGUAUUCCUUUGAAGAGGCUAUCGUUAUGGAUUGUUGCCAUGAAAAAUAUAUAAACCAACAGCUGUUCGGAGACAGUUUAAAUCCCCUUUAUUGGAUGGCAACUAGAUGUAAACUACACGUGGCAGAUAAACAUUGGAAAGUACCUAAAUUUUGUGGUGGUUUCAGAUCUCAGAUGAAUGCCGAAUAAGACCAUUACUUUAGUUUUCUAACGCAUCCAAUUCGGUUGUGUGCAUUGAACUUAAAAAACUCGUGAGGUACUCUACAAGAGAAAAUUAAUGUUACAGGGUUUCCCAAAUUAUAUUCUUUGGUUUCAAAUCCAAAUUUAUAUGUACAUUACGGGAACGAACUAAGUUUAAUAUCACAUGGUCCCCACAUUGCCCUUCCUCACACAAUUAAAGAAAUAUUGUAUGCUUAAGCUAAGUUGGUUUCGGAUUUUAUUUAUAUAUCCUCCCAGAACGGACAAUGGUUGAAAACUUUCCAUGCCAGAAUACAAAUGGUUCAAUGAAAUUUCGUUUGCUUUGGGAGAUCAGAAAUAAUGUGUUCAAGGGUGCCAGCCUUAUGCCAAAGGCGAAACACUUCAAAUUCUCUCUCUCUCUUGUAUUAUAAUAAGAACGAGUUGUACAAAUCACAGUUUUGAGAAAUUCUGCCGAAGUGUAUUUUCGAAUAUUAUUUUUUUCAACAAUAGCGCCAUAACCAAAGAUUAAACUAAUGAAAUCUUUAGAGGAUAAUGAAACCUCAGAUAAAAAGCACUAUUCAAAAUCGUUUGUUCUCCAAAGACUAAAAUGAACAUGAUGAUAAAAGAAAAUCUGAAUGAAAUAACGCUUAAGUUUUAACUUAAAACUCUAGCAACAUGUUGCAUCGAGUAGACUAGUUAAUUUAGAGCACAUUCUCAAAGUUAUCCAUUUCGAGCUUUUCUGUGUGCACAUGAAAGAGCUUUGCAAUUUGUAAAAGAAUGUUCGGAAAUGUAUUUUUAUAAAUACGAAGCAAGAUAUUGCAACGAACGCAUUGAAUACUCAAUUAGAGAUGUCGCUUGUGAUUGCAUUGCUGUCAGGUCUUGGCUGCAGGUCGAUUUAAUAUCAGUUAGGCUUGACUUUUUGAGUGAAGCUUUUUCAGUUCACUUGCACUUAUUGGACAUGCAGAAUUUCACCGAAUGGCGAUCAGGAAGCGGAUGUACCUUUCGGUGAAGAGGAGGACGCAUAGCCACUACUGUGCGGCGUUGACUCCGAUUGCAGUGAUGAUAGCGAUAACACUUUAUUCAUAAGCAAAAAUGGAGCGUACAGUCAUGGCUGUUCCAGCAUUAUCAGCUAGCAUAGGCGACAUUGUCAUUAUGAUGCUCUCUUUAACAUUAUUUUUGGAAAAAUUAACAACAACACCCAUAUACAACUACUAAUGCUAACGAUAUGCAUGCCAAAGUAACACUCAAAUACACACACACA